GACAGAGGGUGCAAACGUUGUUCGGAAUUACUGGGCGUAAAGCGUGUGUAGGCGGUCUUGUAAGUCGGAUGUGAAAGCCCUGGGCUCAACCCAGGAAGUGCACUCGAUACUGCGAGGCUAGAGUAUCGGAGAGGUUGGUGGUAUUCUCGGUGUAGAGGUGAAAUUCGUAGAUAUCGAGAGGAACACCGGUGGCGAAGGCGGCCAACUGGACGAAUACUGACGCUGAGAUUCGAAAGCGUGGGGAGCAAACAGG
rnacentral:rRNA from 1 species